AGAGAGUUAAUUGAAAUAAAAAAGGUUCUUCAUGGAUAAGCUUCUAGAGCAAUUCGUUCAGGAGAGUUUUUAUUUAAAGUAUAUGAUCUAUUUUACAAUUUCACAUAAUAUAUUUCAUAUACAUUACAUGCAAACCCAUAGAAUGACAAAUAUCCUUCUUUAAGGUAUAUAAACAUGAGAUUUUAUACAUAGCACACAGUUCUGGGGGGCUAAGUCUUUAUAGAAGAUCAACCAGGAGGUUCUAUAUUUCAUAAGUAAUAUUCAUUUUCUGAUACUGCUCAAUUUUGUUUUGAAAGAAUUUUCUCAAUGGGAAAAAACUGGAACAACGCCUGAUUUCAAGGAACGCUGUUAGACAUAUAUGUUAUGUGAUAAUCUCUAUCGUAUAUUAUUGAAAUAGGAAAAUCAUUUUAUAUUUUUGAUCAAUAUAUUUUCACUGGCUA